rnacentral:sRNA from 1 species
CAACAUAUUUCCGACAAAGAAAAUGCUGAAAAUUGAUAACCACGCAAGCUGGGGCGCAACAACAAUAAAUCGCAAGUGGCAAGUGGCAUGUGGCAAGCGUAGCAGUGCGCAAAUGUAAAAUGCAGCGAAUAUUCGCAUGUGCAGUGUGAUAAUAAAUAAACGCAGGGUCCAAAAAACGCGAGCGACGACGCAGGGGCAAAGCAAACACAACAACGUCGCAGCAGCGGCAGUAGCAGCGUUUUGGCGGCGGCGGCGCGUGUGUAUUUCUAUGUAUAGAUGUGUGCGUGUUUGUACGAGAGUAACUGUUCCAACAGGAGAACACCGUUAAGCAGCAGUCCCAGUGGCCAGGAAGGAGGCAACAUCCUCAUCUAUUAGACACACGCAGCUCUUAUCAUCACACAGUGCGCAUGCGAAUAAGGGGCCACAAGUCGAAGGAACGAAGGUGAAGGAGGACCGGACCGGACAAGACCAGACUAGAGGACCAGACAAAGAGACAGA